UUCUCCAGAACCCUGACAGCUGCUUUAAAAGGAAAGUGGCAGGAUAGGAGCAGCUUAAUCACGCAGCCUGGACAAACAGCUGGCUGCGAGUCUGACUCAGACAGAAACACUGCAGCUUUGUGUGGUAGGUCUGUCUUUCAAUAACAAGUCAGAAGAACCUUCAGACUCCUAUCACCAGAACAUUGUUUUUGUCAAUUUUCCCAUUUUUGGCUUGGGAACGUUGUGUUUUUUAUUGUGGUGCACAUCCAGUAAGUCUCUAUUUUCCAUUUCCAAGGAUAUCCCUUCAUCCUUCCUGAGACGAGCCAUGACCACACUCCAGGAACUCAUCUGGUUUUCAGGAGAAGAAAGAGAGGCUGGUGAGGGAAAGACUAUAUUUUACAGCUUUAUAGCUGCUAUAAUGUUCUUAAGAAAGAUGAAAAUGCACAGCAAUUUGCUCCCAAGAAAUGAAAAACAAAGGCCCUGUGACCUGAACGAUAGAUACAGAGGGAGAAAAAGCACUGCUGGGGAAAGGAAACCAUGCAUUUUAUAAUUACAUGGGCGAUAAGACUGAAUGAACAUGAGUGUGUUUGCCUCUGUUUUUGAGUGUGUGUAUGGGUGUGUGCUGUGUGCAGUGAUAGUUGGCAUUCAUAUGCAUGUUUGCUCAUUUGCCACUGUCAAAUGGUGUGUUUUAUUUGUGUGUGCAAAUGAAAGAUACGGUGUUAUCAGAUUCCCGGUGUAGUUUAUGCUAUUUCUGGAGAACUGUGUCCUUUUGUACACAAGUAUGUUAAGCAUUCACAUAGCGUGGCAUCUGCAGCUAAGCUAUUUGCAGCAACAUGAGGGAAUGAGAUAUUAUUUGUUACAGAGGCCGUGUGCAUGAAAACAGAUCCAUCUUUGGUUGUGUGUGUGCGUGUGUGUGCAUGUGUGUGUUAUAUAUCAUAACUCAUUACUAGCACUAUUGCCAUAAAAGUCUGAGUAGACAUCUAAUCGGAUCUAAGAUCUUAGGUUUAAAAAUAGAUCUUCAGGUUUUAAAGUUUAAAAAAACCCUGAGAGCAUUUAUAUAUCUCGCUCCAUUUUAUGUUUCUUUUAUAACCUUCCAUAUCUCUACUGUUCUGCUUUUAUCUGUCAUUCUUCCUCUAUAUUCUUUGCCUGAUCUAAUGGAUUGCAAGCUAAAAAAAGAGCAAUUGCCCCGUACUAUCCUCACUCUACCCCUCUCUCUCUAGCUUAACAUUUAUAUCACAGAACGUUUGUCUUUGUAUAAUAAAAGGCCAAGCUGUUUUCCAAUGCAGUGCUCUCAUUCCUUUCGUGGCUGGCAUACCUGUCUCUGUGGCAUUUAAAAAUCUCCUCGGCCUGCCCUGGUGUUAAAGGGCAACUUCACCAAUCUUUUCAGAAUUUAAAUGCUCCAUGCUUCUUGAUAGUGCUGUCUCGCUGGAGUGCCCAGAUGAUAGGAGAGAAUGAAGUACCAUGCAAUGAUGGCUGGGGGGAAGACUGUGAGGCUGGUGUGUGUUCAGCUGCGUACAUGAACAGUAUCCAGUCCUGUAAGUUGCUUUGGAGAAAAAUGUCUGCCAAAUGAAGUAAUAGAUAGAUCUGGAGAAAUACGCUGUAGACUCUAGUUGAUAAUAACGCCACAUUUUUUAAAUCUAUGGACUAGGGGUUUGUCAUAACUGCCCUCGUUCAGUCCCUUAGGCAUGCCUUGGGCAACCUUUAGCCCUUCACAAGUGGUUCUGUCAACUGUUUAGCACUGAAGAUACAUUUAAACCUCAAUCAUUCAAUCAUUCAUCUUUGGGAAGAUGAAUGAUCACCUUCGGGUUGCUGUGAAUCUGGAGUCUAUUCCAGAAACAACUGAGCAGGAGGCUGGAAUACACCCUGGAAGAGACCGGUCCAUUGCAGGUCACAGACAGAACAUACAAAACUCACACACAGUAACCGGAGGUCAGGAUCAAACCAGUAACCCUGAAGCUGUGUUUGAUUAUUCUUUCAACUUUGUAAUCUGAGUAAUGCUGAAUUAUUCUUUUUCAGAAUAUUUGCAGUAUACAAUACAAAACUGCUCUCUCUGCUUUUAGUGUUAUAAAUAAAGCAGUGGUCAGAACAAAUGUAAAUAAAAUUCAUCCAGUGGAAAAGCCAAUUCACUGAAGGGGAAAGGACACAAGAUGUGAAAGACACACACUAGCUCCUGGUAGUGCUUGCUUUCGCUUCGUGCCAGCUUUAUCUAGGUGAACUUUGACCUGUGUAUUCUCGAGCCACUGUAUUCUGAGCCAAAAGAAAACAAGAAGGUGGGAUUGUAGUCUCUUGGUAGUCUCUUUGGUCAGUAAAAAAUAUAGAAGCUGCUUGUUACUAAGUAGUGGUGACAUCUGAAGUUUGACUUCCUGUUUUCUGUUACUCUUGGUGCAUAUCUGGGGGGAAAAAAUGUUGUCUCAUCCACGUAUAUACCCGAGGUGAAAUUCUGUGAUAAAAUUCUGCUUUACCUCUUUGCCUGCUAGCAUGUUCUUGUUAGUAAUGUUUGUACCUCUGGGUUAUAUUUUGUGUAGGCAUACAACACCUCUAUGUUUCUGGUGUUUUGUGCUUCCAGCUUUUGACAAACGCUGCCUCUGAAUAUGCAAACUACAAUGUAGCACCUGGUUACACAUCUGUUGUGCAAAUUAGUUCCAUUAGUUCGUCUGUCUUGUGCCCUUGUAGCUCUAUAGUGUAUCCAUGCUCUGUUUUGUGGGAGCAUGAACCAAGGCAGUGGUGUUAAAUUAAAUGGGGUGUUUUAGUGCUGGCUCUAUGUUGAGCACUGCAUAUUAUUCUUCAUGCAAUUGGAUUGAAAUAGCACUCCCCUCCAUGGUGACACCUCAGCCAGCUGCUUAUAUCGCUUUUUUCAAGCACAAGCCCAGUAUUAACUCCAUGGGCGUUAAAUAGUUUGGUUAAACCGUGUUGGUUUCUCUGUGUGUUUUCUAAAUUGCAUGUGUCAAAGCUGUUAUUUUAUACAGCCAAUCAAGCACUUGGAGUUUAGUCUUUCUGAUUUCGACUCUGGUCUUUGUGUUACUGGUUUGUAGCGAGUCAAUAAGAGAUUUUUAGAGACUUUAUGGCAAUAUGCACAAGGUUCCUUGUACAGUGCGAUUCUUAGUUUGCAUGCUGUCAUGGGUGCUGCAGUGAGAUGCUGCGUUCCUGCUGUGUUCAUGGUGCCCUGUAAAUGGUAAUUUGCAAGUUGUAACGACAUCAUCUCCCACCUCGGGAUGUUCAACGUGCGCAGUGGGGGAAAAAAACAAAGCAUGACUGCCUCCACAAAAGUGUGAUUUUUACGUAAAGCUAAUAAAAAGCUCCUUUAACUGCAUGGUGACUUACAGUUACAGACCUGAGUGGCUAUUGGUUCUGUUCUACUAUCUUGAACUUCACAUAUUCAUGCAACAUUUUGGACUGAAAUUGCAGCACAGCAUCAGCAAUAGCGUGUAGCUUAGCACCAAACUGAACCAUGUAUGAGAUCAUUCUAAUGUUGAUGAUUACCUUCGCGAAACAGCGAUUAGUUUGGUCAGUGUUAUAGCUUUACCCAAGCACUGUGUCUGUAUAUUAACUGAUCUAAAGCUAAUACUGCUAUAAACCAAUUUAAAAGUACGCUUAAAGUGAUCUUUAUGCUGUUCCCAGUGUGAGCGGCCAUGUUGGUUAUGAUGUCACCCUGUAAGUGUGGAAGGAACUGGUGGUUGAGAAGACUACCCCAAGGUGAUGAGCUGAAAUAUCAAAGGCAGACAAAUCCAAAAAGUCAAGCCGAAUCAGGGUGUAAUAAACAGGCAGGAGUCAGAUGAUGUAUGAUGGGCAAAAGGCAAAGACAUAAACCAGGAACCUGAAAACAAGAUCGUAUCCAUGAAGUAAACACACUGAUAUAAGGCUUGGUAUGAGAACACUUUGUGUAUACUUCACAAUGGGUAAGUGUACUAAAGGUCCUAAAAUGCUGUGACUGUCCCUGUGUCUCAGUUCACCGACUUACACUAUGCACUAAAAGCAUGUACUGUUUUCUGUGAAGAAAAAGUAGAUACUUUUGAGUGUGUAGUAAAAGAGUACGUUGUUCUACGUUGAGGACGUUGUUGCCCGGAAGCGAACAAACUCCUCGUUUCAGCUUUCCUUCAUUCAUCUUCCCUUAUAUAAUUUAUACUAUAGAAUUUAAUUUACCAUUCCCAUGACUUAUUUUUCCACAUUUCAUUUAAAUCUGCCUUGUUUGCAGGUUGAACUCGGUGAAGCAAACCAUCAUGAAACUCCUCCUCCCUCGUGCAAGGAUUUGUGGGCAAUUUUAGCUGAAAAAGUGUCGACGGAUCCACACUUCGAAAAUCUACCGGAAAUAGUAGACCAUCAGGGUACCUUGGGGAUACUUGCUUCAAUAUACUCUGAUUUGGGACACACUAAUUCUAAUCUCGGAUACUGUUUAGGAUGGAUAGUAGGUGAAUUGGGAAGCAGCACAGAAGCUGGGGUUUCUAGUGGCCAUGUUUGUCAGCUGCUCUGUGUUUCGGGAAUUGGAAAGCAAUGCUGAUUCCGGUG